rnacentral:rRNA from 1 species
UACAGAGGGUGCAAGCGUUAAUCGGAAUUACUGGGCGUAAAGCGAGCGUAGUCGGUUAUUUAAGUCGGAUGUGAAAUCCCCGGGCUCAACCUGGGAAUUGCAUUCGAUACUGGAUAGCUAGAGUUCGGCAGAGGGAAGCGGAAUUUCGGGUGUAGCGGUGAAAUGCGUAGAUAUCCGAAGGAACAUCAGUGGCGAAAGCGGCUUCCUGGACCAGAACUGACGAUCAGGCUCGAAAGCGUGGGGAGCAAACAGGG